rnacentral:rRNA from 1 species
UUUGCGAGGUGCUGCAUGGUUGUCGUCAGCUCGUGCCGUGAGGUGUCGGCUUAAGUGCCAUAACGAGCGCAACCCUUAUCACUAGUUACUAACAGGUCAUGCUGAGGACUCUAGUGAGACUGCCAGCGUAAGCUGUGAGGAAGGUGGGGAUGACGUCAAAUCAGCACGGCCCUUACAUCCGGGGCGACACACGUGUUACAAUGGUGGGGACAAAGGGCAGCUACCGUGUGAGCGGAUGCUAAUCUCCAAACCCCAUCUCAGUUCGGAUCGAAGUCUGCAACCCGACUUCGUGAAGCUGGAUUCGCUAGUAAUCGCGCAUCAGCCAUGGCGCGGUGAAUACGUUCCCGGGCCUUGUACACACCGCCCGUCAAGCCAUGGGAGUUGGGGGUACCUAAAGUCCGUAACCGCAAGGAUCGGCCUAGGGUAAAACCGAUGACUGGGGCUAAGUCGUAACAAGGUAGCCGUACCGGAAGGUGCGGCUGGAACACCUCCUUUCUGGAGC